CCUACGGGUGGCAGCAGUGGGGAAUAUUGCACAAUGGGGGAAACCCUGAUGCAGCGACGCCGCGUGAGUGAAGAAGUAUUUAGGUAUGUAAAGCUCUAUCAGCAGGGAAGAAGAAAGACGGUACCGUAGUAAGAAGCCCGGGCUAACGAGGUGCCAGUAGGCGAGGUAAUACGUAGGGGGCAAGCGUUAUCCGGAUUUACUGGGUGUAAAGGGAGCGUAGACGGGUGUGCAAAUCUGAAGUGUAAACCCAGGGCUCAAACCUGGGACUGCUUUGGAAACUGUGGAGCUAGAGUGCUGGAGAGGUAAGUGGAAUUCCUAGUGUAGCGGUGAAAUGCGUAGAUAUUAGGAGGAACACCAGUGGCGAAGGCGGCUUACUGGACAGUAACUGACGUUGAGGCUCGAAAGCGUGGGGAGCAAACAGGAUUAGAUACCCCUGUAGUC
rnacentral:rRNA from 1 species